rnacentral:misc_RNA from 1 species
AAAAAAAAAAAAAAAAAAAGCUUUGCAGUAGAACCUCAUUUGUUGUCAAGUGUUGUCAUUAGUAUGUUUCAUAUCAAGCAACUCAUUUGAAGCAUCUAUAAAUUCCUUUAGCAGCAUAGCUUUGAGACGGGUAGGUGUCAGUUUACAAUGGACUGCUCAAUGUAUUUGGAGCAUAUUUAUGCUGCAUGAGAAUUUGUGAACUCUUUUUUUGACAAUAGACACCAUAUCUGGGUUAUCAAGCUUCUUUUUAACCAUUCUGUUGCAGAUUCCUUCCAUUUGCAUCCUUUCCAUUGGUUAUGUUUCUUAAUCAAACAUUAACAUCUUUGAAUCCCAUCUUAGCUAUUCCAUCGUUUCGGCUCCCUGCAUGUUUCAUCUCUCUUUCUAUUAAUAUCAAUCAUCCCGAUUCCAUUAGAUAAUUAUGCAUCUCAAUAUCAAAGCUUAAGCAGUGUUAGAACUUAUUGCCUGAUCAUAAUCUUUGCUUUUGUGAAAACUGAGGAAUGAUGGUACAUUUAAUGAUCUAUAGAUAUCCGGGGUUGAAGAAAAUGUGCUAGAAUUAAAGUCUGCCAAAUAUACAUAAUAUGCCAUGUUUAGCCUAAUAUGACAGCAUCAAUUGCACAAGGCCAGCACCUUGUGAUGUUGAAAGCUCGUACACAGAUUUCAGAAAAAUGGGUAUAACUCCAAGGAGGCAAGUACUUGGCUAUUUCUGCGAAACUUCACAAUGGGUCAUCAUUUCUAUGCCCUUUUUCCUCUUUUGUGAAAGUUACAGUUAAUUCCUGUUGGUACAGUUAUUGAUUUGGAUGACCCUCCUUUCUAGGAUUCUUAGAAUGAGUAAAAAGCCUAAUCUCUAGGAUUCAAUUUUUAAGAGGAAUAAUCUGACACUAGACAUCGUCUUUAUGUCUGCAACGUUUGCGGCUUGGAGUUAAUGCCAUUGCCAUAACACUCAAUUUUAAGGUCAAUAAAUGCCAACACACUGCAAUUCAUGAGUGCACGCAAUAAAUACAUAUGACAUGCAGUCAUGGGCAGUAUACCUUUUGAGGAAUUUGAUAGAAAGGUUUUGAAUUUUGCUGUGUUUAGUAGGUCUAGAGAUAUAUAAUGGAAAUAAGAGUACAUGGGCUAGCCUAGUUGCGAGCGUAAAAAAGAGACCCAAUGUCCUGAAGACUAAUGAAAAACAACCCAUGGCUAAACACAACAAACCUGAUUCUAGCUCACAAUCCCAUGCCAACUUGCUUAUUGUAGACAACUCCAAGUAGCUGCUACCGUUGCCAGAGUCUCCAGAGGCUGUCAACUUAGGAUGUUCAAACACAAGCAUAGCCAGAAUCGAGACCCUAAAGGGAUAAAAACUCAGUAACAUGAGCAGCCAUGGGUGUGCUAGGACCCACUACCGUAAACCCAACCAAGGGUGUGCCAAGAUGCAAUCCAUUGAAGGAAGUGUUAUAUAAAAAGAAUAGCAUUAUCAAUAAAUAAAAAUCUAAAAAAAGAAAAAUUAAAUAAAACUGAUAAAAAUAUUUUAUUUUAUAAAAAAUAAGAAAGAAAUAAAUUUUUUACACAUUUAUUAAUAAAAACAAUGCGAUUUAGCAAAUAAUUUUUAAUAUAAAAUAAAAGUUUAUUCAUUUAAUUAAAAUGUAUAAUAA